rnacentral:lncRNA from 1 species
CUGAACCAUGAACAAUGUAGUCUUUGUAAGAAGGCACAGAAGUGUAGCCUAAAUUUUAAAAGCCUUUAGUGUUGCAAUGGAUAGAUGUUGGCACUUGAAGACAAGCUUUGCCUCUCUAGAAAAUUCAUCCAUGUGGAACCUCUCUUUGCCUGAAGAUGCUAGAGUGAAGCAUCUAACUUUAUGCUAUAAAAAUCUAAAUGACAACACGAGGCAGGAGGACAUGCACUGGAUUUAGUUUCAGGAAAUAUCUGGGUUUGAAGUUCAUCUCUAGAACUACAUUUGGAAUGAUGCUGGGAAGCCAAGUUAUGUUGGGAAUGUUCCUCAGACCUCACAAAGCAUUUUUCAUUUAUAACUCUCUAAUACACUCAUAAUUUAUUCAUUUAUUCAAAAAACCUUAAUGACUAAUUUAUGUGUAAGAAAGUUAAUUCUGUCA